rnacentral:sRNA from 1 species
GCAGGGUGUGGUGGAGCAUCCCUGUAAUCACAGCUACUAGGGAAGCUGAGGCAGGAGGAUCGCUAGUUCCAGGCCAGCCUCAGCUACUUGGUGAGACCCUGUCUCAA